rnacentral:rRNA from 1 species
UUACAAUGCUGGAAACAGCGAUAAGGGGACCUCGAGUGCCAGGUUACAAAUCUGGCUGUCGUGAUGCCUAAAAAGCAUUGCAUAGCAAGGGCCGGGCAAGACCGGUGCCAGCCGCCGCGGUAACACCGGCGGCUCGAGUGGUAACCGUUAUUAUUGGGUCUAAAGGGUCUGUAGCCGGCCGGAUAAGUCUCUUGGGAAAUCUGGCAGCUUAACUGUCAGGCUUUCAGGAGAUACUGUCUGGCUCGAGGCCGGGAGAGGUGAGAGGUACUUCAGGGGUAGGGGUGAAAUCUUGUAAUCCUUGAAGGACCACCAGUGGCGAAGGCGUCUCACCAGAACGGACCUGACGGCAAGGGACGAAAGCUAGGGGCACGAACCGG